rnacentral:rRNA from 1 species
UACAGAGGUCUCAAGCGUUGUUCGGAUUCAUUGGGCGUAAGGGGUGCGUAGGUGGCGCCGUAAGUCAGGUGUGAAAUCUCGGGGCUCAACCCCGAAACUGCACUUGAUACUGCGGUGCUCGAGUACUGGAGAGGAGAUUGGAAUUUACGGUGUAGCAGUGAAAUGCGUAGAUAUCGUAAGGAAGACCAGUGGCGAAGGCGAAUCUCUGGACAGUUACUGACACUGAGGCUCGAAGGCCAGGGGAGCAAACGGG